rnacentral:rRNA from 1 species
UACGUAGGCAGCAAGCGUUGUUCGGGAUUACUGGGCGUAAAGAGUGUGUAGGUGGUGUCGUAAGUUUGGUGUGAAAUCUCCCGGCUUAACUGGGAGGGUGCGCCGAAGACUGCGAUGCUGGAGUAUGGGAGAGGAAAGCGGAAUUCCUGGUGUAGCGGUGAAAUGCGUAGAUAUCAGGAGGAACACCUGCGGUGUAGACGGCUUUCUGGACCAUUACUGACACUGAGACACGAAAGCGUGGGUAGCAAACAGG